rnacentral:rRNA from 1 species
CCAAUGGGGCUAUCUGCAGUCGAGCGAACUGAUUAAAAGCUUGCUUCUAUUACCUUAGCGGCGGACGGGUGAGUAACAUGUGGGCAACCUGCCUGUAUGACUGGGAUAACUUCGGGAAACCGAAGCUAAUACCCGAUAGGAUCUUCUCCUUCAUGGAAGAUGAUUGACAGAUCUCUUCCGCUAUCAUUUACCGAUGGGCCCUCAGUGCAUUAGCGUAGUUGGUGACGCUAACGGCUCACCAAUGCAACGAUGCAUAGACAACCUGACCAGGGCUGCAUCUGGCCACACUGACACUGACACAACUCCCAGACUCCUACGGGAGGCAGCAUAUAUGCGAAUCUUCCCCAAUGCACGAAAGUCUGACGGCAGCGACUCCGCAUGAGGUGCAUGAAGGCUUUCGGGUCUUACAACUCUGUUGUAAGGGAAUGAACAAUUACAACCAUUAACUGCUCGUACCUUGCACGGUAACUAACCAGAUAUCCCCGCGUAACUACGUGCCAGCAGACGCGGAAAUACCUAGGUGGCAAGCGUUAUCCUGAAUUAUUGGCGCUAAAGCGCGCUCUGGCGGUUUCUAUAAUUCUGAUGUGAAACUCCACGGGUCAACCGUGUACGAUCAUUGGAAACUGGAGAACUGUGAGUGCGGAAUAGAAUACCGGAAUUCCACGUGUAGCGCGGAAAAGCGUAGAGAGAUGGAGGAACACCCGUGGGGAGGGGGCGUCUCCGGUGUCAAACUCCGACUGUGGCGUGAAAAAGUGGGGAGCACACACGAUUAUGAUAUCCCGGUAGUGCACGCCGUAAACGAUGAGUGGUAAGUGAGAGAGGGUCUCCGCCCUUUAGUGUCGCAACUAACGCAUUAAGCUCUCCGCCUGGGGAGUUCGGUCGCAAGGGUGAAACUCAAAGGAAUUGACGGGGGCCCGCACCAGCGGUGGAGCCAGUGGUUUAAUUUGAAGCAACGGGAAGGACCUUUCCAGGUUUUGACAUUCUAGGGAAAUUCUAGAGAUAGAGCGUUCCCCUUCGGGAGAUAGAGGGCCAGGUGGGCCAUGGUUUUGUUCACUUCGUGUCGGGAGAUGUGGGGUUAAUUCCGGCAAGGAGCCCAACCUUUGAUUUUAGUUCCCAGCAUUUAGCUGGGCACUCUAAGGAGACUGCCGGUGACAAACCGGAGGAAGGUGGGGAUGACGUCAAGUCAUCAUGCCCCUUAUGACUUGGGCUACACACGUGCUACAAUGGAUGAUACAAAGGGAAGCAAGCCUCGCGAGGUCAAGCCAAUCUCAUAAAACCCUUCUCAGUUCGGAUUGUGAGUCUGCAACUCGCCUACAUGAAGCUGGAAUCGCUAGUAAUCGGGGAUCAGCAUGCCGCGGUGAAUACGUUCCCGGGCCUUGUACACACCGCCCGUCACACCCAGAGAGUUUUAUCACCAGAAGUCGGGGAGUAACCUAAGGAGGUACGCUGCCCAAGGUGGACUCAUGACGGGGGAAGUGAUCCAGAGCUGCCC